UACGGAGGGAGCUAGCGUUGUUCGGAAUUACUGGGCGUAAAGCGCGCGUAGGCGGCUUUGUAAGUUAGAGGUGAAAGCCUGGAGCUCAACUUCAGAAUUGCCUUUAAGACUGCAUCGCUUGAAUCCGGGAGAGGUGAGUGGAAUUCCGAGUGUAGAGGUGAAAUUCGUAGAUAUUCGGAAGAACACCAGUGGCGAAGGCGGCUCACUGGACCGCCCUUGACGCUGAGGUGCGAAAGCGUGGGGAGCAAACAGG
rnacentral:rRNA from 1 species